GAACGCUGGCGGCGUGCUUAACACAUGCAAGUCGAACGGAAAGGCCCCUUUGGGGGUACUCGAGUGGCGAACGGGUGAGUAACACGUGAGUAACCUGCCCUUGACUUCGGGAUAACUUCAGGAAACUGGGGCUAAUACCGGAUAGGAAUCCUUGCUGCAUGGUGGGGGUUGGAAAGCUUCGGCGGUUUUGGAUGGACUCACGGCUUAUCAGCUUGUUGGUGGGGUAGUGGCUUACCAAGGCUUUGACGGGUAGCCGGCCUGAGAGGGCGACCGGCCACAUUGGGACUGAGAUACGGCCCAGACUCCUACGGGAGGCAGCAGUGGGGAAUAUUGCACAAUGGGCGGAAGCCUGAUGCAGCAACGCCGCGUGCGGGAGGACGGCCUUCGGGUUGUAAACCGCUUUCAGCAGGGGCGAAGCUUGUGGUGACGGUACCUGCAGAAGAAGCACCGGCUAACUACGUG
rnacentral:rRNA from 1 species